UACAGAGGUCCCGAGCGUUGUUCGGAUUCAUUGGGCGUAAAGGGUGCGUAGGCGGCGGGGAAAGUCUGAUGUGAAAUCCCGGGGCUUAACCCCGGAACUGCAUUCGAUACUGCGGUGCUCGAGGACUGGAGAGGAGAUUGGAAUUCACGGUGUAGCAGUGAAAUGCGUAGAUAUCGUGAGGAAGACCAGUGGCGAAGGCGGAUCUCUGGACAGUUCCUGACGCUGAGGCACGAAGGCCAGGGGAGCAAACGGG
rnacentral:rRNA from 1 species